rnacentral:rRNA from 1 species
GACGAACGCUGGCGGCGUGCCUAAUACAUGCAAGUCGAGCGAAGAAUAGGUUUCAAGUCUUCGGAUGCGAGACCUAUUACUUAGCGGCGAACGGGUGAGUAACGCGUGGGCAACCUGCCCCCUAGGCCGGGAUAACAGCUCGAAAGGGCUGCUAAUACCGGAUACGCCUCAUGUGCUGCAUGGCAUAUGAGGGAAAGCGCUUUAGCGCUGGGGGAUGGGCCCGCGUCCCAUUAGCUAGUUGGUGAGGUAACGGCUCACCAAGGCGACGAUGGGUAGCCGGCCUGAGAGGGUGGACGGCCACACUGGGACUGAGACACGGCCCAGACUCCUACGGGAGGCAGCAGUAGGGAAUAUUGCGCAAUGGGGGGAACCCUGACGCAGCGACGCCGCGUGAGCGACGAAGGCCUUCGGGUCGUAAAGCUCUGUCCUAUGGGACGACGAGGACGGUACCAUAGGAGGAAGCCCCGGCUAACUACGUGCCAGCAGCCGCGGUAAUACGUAGGGGGCGAGCGUUGUCCGGAAUUACUGGGCGUAAAGGGUGCGUAGGCGGAUACGCAAGUCCGAUGUGAAAUGCCUCGGCUUAACCGAGGAGCUGCAUUGGAAACUGUGUAUCUAGAGUGCAGGA